UACGGAGGGUGCGAGCGUUAAUCGGAAUUACUGGGCGUAAAGCGUGCGCAGGCGGUUUUGUAAGCCAGAUGUGAAAUCCCCGGGCUCAACCUGGGAAUGGCAUUUGUGACUGUAGAGCUGGAGUGCGGCAGAGGGGGAUGGAAUUCCGCGUGUAGCAGUGAAAUGCGUAGAUAUGCGGAGGAACACCGAUGGCGAAGGCAAGCCCCUGGGCCUGCACUGACGCUCAUGCACGAAAGCGUGGGGAGCAAACAGG
rnacentral:rRNA from 1 species